GACGAACGCUGGCGGCGUGCUUAACACAUGCAAGUCGAACGGAAAGGCCCUGCUUUUGUGGGGUGCUCGAGUGGCGAACGGGUGAGUAACACGUGAGUAACCUGCCCUUGACUUUGGGAUAACUUCAGGAAACUGGGGCUAAUACCGGAUAGGAGCUCCUGCUGCAUGGUGGGGGUUGGAAAGUUUCGGCGGUUGGGGAUGGACUCGCGGCUUAUCAGCUUGUUGGUGGGGUAGUGGCUUACCAAGGCUUUGACGGGUAGCCGGCCUGAGAGGGUGACCGGCAACAUUGGGACUGAGAUACGGCCCAGACUCCGACGGGAGGCAGAAGGGGGGAAUAUGGCAAAAGGGGCGGAAGCCUGAGGCAGCAACGCCGGGUGCGGGAGGACGGCCUUGGGGUUGUAAACCGCUUUCGCCUGUGACGAAGCGUGAGUGACGGUAAUGGGUAAAGAAGCACCGGCUAACUACGUG
rnacentral:rRNA from 1 species